CACUGUGCGGUCUCUAAUUCGCUUGGUGCAGGUCGGGAACCGGUUUUUGCGGCAAAAUGGUGAAGUGGUAGCCGGCGGCGAAUUGGAUCCCGCCUUGCAUCAACUGAAUCGGAGGCCGCAGUGAAG
rfam:Vigna angularis cultivar Jingnong 6 chromosome 6, whole genome shotgun sequence.